UCGGUUACCCCUUAAUUUGGCGCCCGGGUGAGUAACAAAUGGGAAUCUGCCCAUCUAUGGGGAAUAACUGCGGGAAACUGCAGCUAAAACCGCACACGCCCUUCGGGGGAAAGGCUUCGGCCGUAGAUGGAUGAGCCCGCGUCCGAUUAGCUAGUUGGUGGGGUAAUGGCCUACCAAGGCGACGAUAGGUAGCUGGUCUGAGAGGAUGAUCAGCCACACUGGGACUGAGACACGGCCCAGACUCCUACGGGAGGCAGCAGUGGGGAAUAUUGGACAAUGGGCGAAAGCCUGAUCCAGCAAUGCCGCGUGAGUGAUGAAGGUCUUCGGAUUGUAAAGCUCUUUCGACGGGGAAGAUAAUGACGGUACCCGUAGAAGAAACCCCGGCUAACUUCGUGCCAGCAGCCGCGGUAAUACGAAGGGGGCUAGCGUUGUUCGGAUUUACUGGGCGUAAAGCGUGCGUAGGCGGCUUAUCAAGUCAGAAGUGAAAGCCCGGGGCUCAACUCCGGAAUGGCUUUUGAGACUGGUAGGCUGGAGUUCGGGAGAGGGUAGUGGAAUUCCCAGUGUAGAGGUGAAAUUCGUAGAUAUUGGGAAGAACACCGGUGGCGAAGGCGGCUGCCUGGCCCGAAACUGACGCUGAUGAACGAAAGCGUGGGGAGCAAGGCGGACUACAUACCCUGGUAGUCCACUCAGUAAACAAUGAGUGCUGGACGUUGGGAUACUUAGUAUCGGAUUGUCCUAGCUAACGCGUUUAACACUCCACCUGUGGAGUUCUCCCGCCCGGGUAAAACUCACAGGAUCGGACGGGAGCCCGCACCAGCGGUGGAGCAGGUGGUUUUAUUCUAAGAGACGCGAAGAACCU
rnacentral:rRNA from 1 species